GAUGAACGCUAGCGGCAGGCCUAAUACAUGCAAGCCGAACGGCAAGUUUGAUAGCACUCUUGGACCUAGAGUGGCGCAAGGGUGCGUAACACGUAUGCAACCUGCCCGCGACAGGAGGAUAGCUCCCCGAAAGGGGAAUUAACCCUCCAUAACACCAUGAGAAGGCAUCUGAUUAUGGUUAAACCGCAAGGGGUCGCGGAUGGGCAUGCGGUUGAUUAGCUAGUUGGCGGGGUAAAGGCCCACCAAGGCGGUGAUCAAUAGGGGUUCUGAGGAAGGUCCCCCACACUGGCACUGGGAUACGGGCCAGACUCCUACGGGAGGCAGCAGUAGGGAAUAUUGGACAAUGGUUGCAAGACUGAUCCAGCCAUGCCGCGUGCAGGAAGAAGGCCUUCUGGGUCGUAAACUGCUUUUUCCUGUGGAUAAAAUACCCGUGCGCGGGGAAUUGAAGGUAACAGGGGAAUAAGCCACGGCUAACUACGUG
rnacentral:rRNA from 1 species